rnacentral:tRNA from 1 species
GAGGGUAUAGCUCAAGUGGUAGAGUGCCUGCCUAGCAUGCAUGAGGUCCUGGGUUCAAUCUCUAGUACCUCCU